AUUGAACGCUGGCGGCAGGCCUAACACAUGCAAGUCGAGCGGUAGCACAGAGAGCUUGCUCUCGGGUGACGAGCGGCGGACGGGUGAGUAAUGUCUGGGAAACUGCCUGAUGGAGGGGGAUAACUACUGGAAACGGUAGCUAAUACCGCAUAACGUCGCAAGACCAAAGCGGGGGACCUUCGGGCCUCAUGCCAUCAGAUGUGCCCAGAUGGGAUUAGCUAGUAGGUGGGGUAACGGCUCACCUAGGCGACGAUCCCUAGCUGGUCUGAGAGGAUGACCAGCCACACUGGAACUGAGACACGGUCCAGACUCCUACGGGAGGCAGCAGUGGGGAAUAUUGCACAAUGGGCGCAAGCCUGAUGCAGCCAUGCCGCGUGUGUGAAGAAGGCCUUCGGGUUGUAAAGCACUUUCAGCGGGGAGGAAGGCGAUAAGGUUAAUAACCUUGUCGAUUGACGUUACCCGCAGAAGAAGCACCGGCUAACUACGUGCCAGCCGCCGCCGUAACAC
rnacentral:rRNA from 1 species